UUAAAAUUAUUGCUACAAACGAAUAAAAUUUUAAAGUCCAUAAUAAGACCCUACAAACGAAUGCCAAAGACCGCCACGUCAUCAUCCAUUUUAAAAUUAUUUUGAUAUACGAAUAAUCAUAUUUUUGUUCUCAUCCCAAACGACCGUUACUUACAAAACUCUGUUCUCUUCUUCACUACCGAAUAUUAUCACACACGCUCUUCUUAAGGCGAUGAAGAUGAGCUUUUUCUCUCUUCUGCAGAACCUUCAAUUUCUCUAAAUGCAGACAAUGACGAAAAUGAUGGUGGCGAUAAUAAAAUUGCUGAGAGACAAGAGGGAGGUGGUUGUGAGGCGAAUGAGGAGAGACAUCGGUAUGCUUCUUGAAUCCCGUCCGGAUGUCACUGUUCGUAUUCAGAUCCAUGUACAAGCAGAGGAUCAAGAUUGAUGGGAUAAAACGAGACACUUGGCGCUUCAUUAUGAAAGGUUUAAAUUACUCUCUGCGCAACUUAGUUUUUCUUCUAGUCUUCUUUUUGUUAUGAAUCUGUCGUGAUCAUCAACAAUCACGGCUUCGAGGGGCAAGCGGGCGAGACGAGGUGCCUUGGGGUAGGCAGGGCCUCGAGGCGGGCAGGGAUGCUUUGAGG